GCUACACAGAGAAACCUUGUCUCGAAAAACUAAAAAAAAAAAAAAAAAAAUCAAAUCAGUUCACCCAUUCCUCCACGCCCCCCAAUGAAGGAAGUGCAUCUUGAGGCUGAGCUGAGAUGGGGGUUCAGUGCACGAAAUGCACUCAGAACUCGUCUGCUGCUGUUGUUCCCUGUAGUGUGCAGUGUGGUCUUGUCCUCUGACACACGCACAUUAAUUAACCUGGUUUUGGUGACCUAUUAUUAUUAUUAUUAUUAUUUUCUGAUUUCAACCCCAAUACAUGAGGGGGAGAAACAAAAACCCCUCCAAUAGGUUGUUACAAGCGCUCUUCUCUCCUCUGGGGAGAACCCAGAGUGGAAUCAGUGUGAUUGCCCAGGGCGGUCUUUAGGUGCGUAAUGCACAUUGUGUAGUGUCAGAUGAAAACAGGCUUUAUCAGAAAAGGAGGACUACGGAGCCAGAGAGGUGGCGGGGUUGUUACGAGCACACGCUGUCCUUGCAGAGGACUGGUUCGGUUCCAAGGACACACACGUGACUCAAAAUCACCUGUAACCCCAGGGAUCUGAUUCCUCUAGCCUCAGUGGGCCUCUGCACUAAUGUGUACAAAUCCACACACAUACAUACAUACAUACAUACAUACAUACAUUCAUAAUCAAAAAUAAAUCUUAAACAAAUGUAAAAGAGGAUUCGUUCGGCCCUGAGUUCUCUUUCUGGCACAGGGAGAGUCAAAUCAAUGGUAAGAUCUUGUAAUAAGAGAAAUAAAAAUAUAAAGGGCUCAGUAACUCAUUAAGGACAUCAGCUCACUGGGUCAUAGUAAUAAUUAACUUUUGCCGAGUGAGACGUAGUCCCGGUGGCCGGAUAAUUCCCUAAAUAUUUUUGUGAUGUAAGAGGUAGGAGCACAUGUGGCUGUAUUUAUGUCUCCUGUGAGCACAAGGCUGUGAGCUUCAGUAGCUGGGGAACCUUGCCAGUGACACACAGCUCCAGGAAGGAUGGCCUCCGUGCCCUCGCAGCAGCUUUGACCACGUGUCCAGGACAGACAAACUUCCCUUCUCCUCUGUAGUGACGGAUCCACUAGUCGACUGGGAAGACAGAAAAGCAUGGCUUCUGCUGGUCACUUCGUUUCCACCUGCAUUUGUCCGUCUGUUUACCGCGAGGAACACGGCAAUGGUGAGCAGGACCUGCCUUGCCUCCGGUGAUCAGCUGGCAUUCCACCAGAAGAAGAAAUUUCUCUUAAAUACAAUGAAAAACCAGUGCCAAGUUUUGAUGCUUAGCCAUGGUCGCCAGAGGCACAAGGCUUAUUCCCAAAGAGUGGCAAUGUUUUGAAAGUUUAUCGAACUUCUAGGAGGUAGAACACAUCUGGUACAAGUCGGGUACUAGCAGUGAGCACUUGGAGGUUCGAGCAGAUCCUGGUUCAGGUAUGCUCUCUGUUUUCCAAUCUACCACAAUGCAAACAGCAAUCACCACAAGCUGUUUUAUGUCCGGCACAGUGCUGCACCUGAAUCUGCUCAUGUUUCAGCCAGUAAUUGUGGCUGUGGGGCAGUUACUGGCUUGCUUCUCUGGGAGCAGCCAGGUGGGACUUCUACAUCUAUCCAGAUCCGCCUCCUGCUGACGCAGCCAAUGCAGUUUUUAACUAAAUCUCUAUUGUUCUGUUUACCAAUAGGACUCAGGAGCUAGAGGCUGGGGUGAAAACCUGCUAGCUCAGAGGCCGAGGAGCAACUAGCAGACCUUCCCCCUUUGCUGACAUCUCUGAAAAAGAGCGUCCUUCCACUCCCCCAAACCAAAAGAGACUGCCACACUCAAAGUCCCCACCACCACCACUACCACCAUUUCCUGUGUGUCUCAGCAUCAGUUUUCUGGACUCCCUCUGACUCUCUAUGAUUACUUUCUGCCAACUAGUUGCUAGCUCUGCCUCCUGACCCAAGGUUUAUUUUAUUUAAUUAACACAAAUGCAAAUGUGGGGUUCACAGUGUUAUCAUAUAUCUCGAUACAGCCAUAUUCUCCCUCUGCCAUGAACCUCACCAUGCAUUCCCUGCCCUGCUGACUGUAUAGUCUAAACCCGUGAGUCAAAGUAAAUCCUCCCUCCUUAAGCUGCUCUGUCGGGGACUGGGUCACAGUGACCUAAAGCAUAACUAAUACAACCAUUGAUUGAUCAGCUUCAGCGGGACAAAUUUACUUCUUCCCAGUUCUGGAGGCCGUGUGUAAGCUCAGGGCUGCUGUUGCCUAUGGCUCCUCUCCAUGUGGAAAACAGGCUCCCAAGCCUUUCACACGCCCUUCCUUCUGUGUGUAUCUCAUGGUUGUGGCUUAAGUGCCUUUCUCAUAAAGUCACCAGUCAUAUUGGACUAGAUAUGAGUCCAGAUACCAGUCUAAUUGGAGAAUUUCUUCUUUCAGGGUCUACCAACAAAUAGAGUCAUAUUCUGAGAUAUUUCAGCAUACAGAUUUUCACUGAGGCUGUACCACAACUCCUAACACCUCUGUACCUGUCUCUCUUGAUUGCUGUAAGUCUGACAUAAUAACCCAUGUGGCAGUUAAGCUCUUGGAUAAGUGCCCGGAAGGGUGUGUGAGCGCUGCCCUCGGUUAAACAUUACAAGUGCUUCUAGCAUAGAGUUUAAUGUGGAAUAAGGCACUUCACAAGUGUCUGUUCAGUUUUUAACACAAACAGAUAUCACUUCAACACAGGUAUUUGUUUGUGGUAACCACAGUACCCUCUGAACAUUCACUGGCAUCCCUCUAUCACUCCAGGCUAUCAAAAGAGGGCUCUGUCCACAGUGGCCCAUCAGCGAGAGCCAUGGUUCAUGUUGAAAGGCCUGAGAACGACAGCACUCUGCCAGGGUCCAUUGCUUCUACUAAGCACGGUGCCUUCUUUCCCUCCAGCCUGGUAGCUUGAAAUCCCUCAGUGGAAGCAAACACAUUCUCUGAUCACUGGGGAACUGGCUUUGCUGACACUCUAGUCUGUUGUUUUUGAUUGAGUCUCUGUAUGUCUUGGUACAGAUCUAAGACAGCUGAACACUGUGUCCUGGCCUCUUCCAGUCAGAGUCCUAUCACAACCGGUUAUUGCCCCAGCCUGGGCAUUUCGUCCGGGUGAACGAGACAAAGGGAAGGUAGUUCCUCUACAAGGAAAAGGCUGUGCUGACCACAGAAGUAACUCUAUAUAUCUUACCUUGUAGGGAAAGAAUUUCAGAAUCAAUGGAAUGGCUUAGGCAGCUCCAUAAUCUGUGCUUAAGAAGUGUGGGAACUGGGGAAGGAAGUCUCGCUUAUGUUUUCCCAACCAAGCUUUAUUGGGGGUUGAAUUUAAUUACCAACUACAAAGAUCAUAUUGAGUUAUCGUAAAUAAUCAUUUAAUAAGAUAAGUUGGCUGAACUAAAUCAGUGAAGUAAGUACAGGAUAUUAUAUAGACAAAGUAACAAUUGGAGUAUCUGAUUUUUGUCUUCAAUUUUUUCACAGUCGCAGUGAGUAGCCAAGAAUGACUAUCUUUUUCUUCCACAUUGGAAGAUCAAGCCUAGCAUGUGAAUUUGUCUCAGUCCUAAAAGAUAUCAAUGGGCCUAUGUCCAACUGGCUGGAUUUCAAACCUAUUCCUCUUUCUAUUACUUUACAGUAGCUUCUUGUUAUUUAAAGAGAUACAAAAGGACUAAGUUUUAGUUUUUAAAUUUAAAGCUCACUCUUGCUUUCUGAGACAUCUGUAAAAAACACAGGUCAAAUGAGGCACAAUGGUUGCUUGGGCCAUGCUGGGACAGAUCCGCUAUAUUCCUACUCAGAGCUCUGCAGCCAAGCUAAGAAAGACCAGACACUCAACAUUCUGGGGAUCACAGCUGAGAGACUCAGGAAGACAAAAUGCACCAUCUGCAAUAUAAAGGGUGACUCCUGAUGUAUUAAUUUAUGGGAGAAAUUUAACCCCUAAAUAACAGGACAGUUGGAGAGACCUGAGGGCGUUCACCUCAUCUUGGCAAGCUUCGAAGGACUUUCCACAGCAGAGCUCACCUCUUGACCUCUGAGACAUACGGGUAUGACGUGUCACAGAUCACCCCAAUACCUAGUGACUUGAGGUGAACCCUGCCGUGCUUAGCACGUAGCUCUGUGUGGGGCUGUUGGCAUUCUUCCAGCCCGAGCCAAUGCCACCGUCUUCUGCCAGGUUCUGUGGUGCCUCUGUGGUCAGCUGGGAGCUGGAUGAUAUGAGACGACCUCACCCAGAUGGAAGGUGACUGGCAGGCUCUUGGCCAGGAUAACCUGAUUUCUACCAGGUUGGGCCCCAGAUUAGCAUUUUGUACUCAGCCACAGAAUUGCUAUCUACGCAUUUCUCAACUCCUUCCUGUUUGUCUGCCUCAUUGCUGUAUACUCUGCUUACCGCACAUGUUCUCCGUGAGAUUACCUGCAUAACUACACUCUAGCUCUGAGAAUCAAGUUCAUUUAGGGGUUUUUAACUCACCCCAUGGAUAACUAGUGCAGUUCUCAACACUCAACCACCCUCUCAGAAAUGCUUCGUGACUUGUCUCUGUCACUAGCUCGUUCUUCCAUAAUCUGUGAAUAUGCCAAAGCAGUGUUCAGAGAGCAUCCGUUAUUGCUUUUUCUAUACCACCCCCUUGGUGGUAUGGGAAGAGCAAAGGCUUCACUCUUGUCCUCACAUGUCUGUGGCAGCGCCCAAGCGGUUAGCAAAGAUCAGCAGGAUUCUGACCGACUGUGAAGUCUCCUUGCCAUUCUCCACAGAAGUGUAGGUGAUGUCACUGGGCCUCUGAACUUGUUCACUUAUUAACCUUCGCCGGGAAAGGUUUUAAAAUUAACUGCCUGUUCUGUUCUCGGGGACAGUGGACAUGCUGCGAUGCUGGCCUGGGGGAGACAGACUGACUCAGGGCAAAGAAUUAAUGGAAGCAUAUGGCUCCUGCAAGCAGGAAAUGCUUUGAUAGGCCUUUCCUCUUUUUGUUACCCGGAGAACCGGGACAAUAGACUCCACCUCGAGCAGCUGCUUUGGCCCCAGUGAUGAUCGCAGCACAUUUUCCGCAUCAGACUUGGAGUCUGCACAGGGAGUGUCCAGGAAGGCGCAGUCACAAUGUUGGGGUCUGGCCUUGAGCUUCCACACUGUGUGGCGGGCGGAGGCUGCAGCCUGAAGACAUCCAAGGAUCCUUUUGGCACACGGUUCAGGAAGUCCAUCUGCUGCUGUUGUUCCUCUGACCUUUUGUUAGAACCCUCCCUAAACUGGAAAGAAACUACCAGAAAUAAGAUAAAGCCAAACCAACUUAGAAUCUGUCUUCAAACCACGUCAAAUUUGCAAGUCCAGGCUCCUUCCUUAAGUUUCCGCGACCUCUGAAACAGUUCCACCAGCUGGGGACAAGCCUUCCGUAGCUGGCCCUGUUACAGGGUGAAGGGAUACGGUCAUGCUCAGAAUGUGACACUUUUCCCUGCUCAAAACUUUCAGCUCUCACUCAUUGUCUGCCGAACCAAGUUCAACUUCCCCAGCCUGGUAUCUAAGAGUCUUUGUGGGUGGAAUCAGAAUUUGGUUGGGAUGCUGAUCGGGGCAAGAUUUCAAACUUGAAGACAGCUAGCAUUAAGCUGUAGCUGCUGAGCGAGUGAAUAAAUGAUGAACAGCCACGUCAAGCCUACAGUAUUGACCUGUGAGCCAUGAGGGGAGGCUCUGCUCUCACUUCUAACAAUCGCAUGGCUGAACAUGCGCCAGGCCCAUUGUUUCUUAAAGCCCGAGAUUCAGGAGAUGCAAAGAUGGAUAGGCCUGCUUUAAAUUUUGACAGUGGAGCUAGGGAGGAGAGAAUGAGGGUAGACACCUCUACAAAUCACUGUAACGUGAGGCAGUAGGCGCCGCACACCAAAGUACUGCAAUAACGGCACUAGCUAAGUGGUCCUUGCCUAGAAGCUGUGCACGCCUCAGCUUGACUGAAGAAAGGCUUUCUCAUCCUUGGCUGUUGUUUUCAGUCUGUCUGUCCCCUGUCCCAGCUGGUAGUAGUCUGGGUUCUGGAAUGUUGACUCUGGUUGCAGAUCUUCCAGUAGGCCACAGUCCCAUCUUGGGUUGGGGCCCCAGUGCCGCUCAGCCUUACAAAGCAGAUUCUGAUCCUGGAGGGUUGGUGUUGGCGGGGUGGGGGGUUGUGGUGAUCUCUGCCAUUUUGCUUUUCUAACAAGCUUCCGGGUGAUGCUUUUGAUGGGUCUACAAAGUGAAGAGUAGUGGUAAUUCUGUGACUCCCUGGAAACAUCCCUCUUCUAAACCUCCGAAUUUGCUAAGAGUGAGACUAUGGGCAUUCCCCUUGAUUGAGCUGGUAUCCAUUGUAUUGGGUGUCCCUGGCUGGCCCACACUCUGUAGGACUGCAGGUGUGCUCCACUGCUCUGGGCUUCAUCAGUACACUUGACCUCUGCCCUUCCUGGUGGGUGCUUCUUCCCAAGUCUUUUCCCUAAGUAAAUCAAAGACUCCUUGAAGGAGAACUUGGUCUGGUUCACCCAGAUCCUCAGAUGGUAGGCAUCUGCUUGUUAUAGGGCCGGACUUUAAUAAAUAUUUGUUCAGUUGGAUUUGAAUUAAAAUACUACUGUAUGUGGAAACAAAUGUGUACAUGUGUAUGCUUGCGUCUGUGUGUAUCUGUAUAUAAUGUCCUAUUCAGUGAGUCAGGACAGACAACACAGGUCACCUUGAGUUAUAAUAAAAUGUAGACUGCAGUUAUCAAGGCAAGGAAAUAACAUACAAUGUGUAUUUGAUGAGACUUAUUUUUUACUUGCUGAUACUAAGGCCUUCAGACCCUAAACUGUGUUUUGUGUGGAGUGAAUA